rnacentral:rRNA from 1 species
UACGAAAGGAGCAGGUGUUAUUCAGAUUAACUGGGCGUAAAGCGCACGUAGGCGGCUUUGUAAGUUAGAGGUGAAAGCCCGGGGCUCAACUCCGGAAUUGCCUUUAAGACUGCAUCGCUAGAAUUGUGGAGAGGUAAGUGGAAUUCCGAGUGUAGAGGUGAAAUUCGUAGAUAUUCGGAAGAACACCAGUGGCGAAGGCGACUUACUGGACACAUAUUGACGCUGAGGUGCGAAAGCGUGGGGAGCAAACAGG